rnacentral:sRNA from 2 species
AUCCCCCAAACCAAGGGGGGAUGAGAACCACCGAGCGGGGUUCGACAACUGGCGCAGCCAGUUGGACAGACGACGAGCUUGCGAGGAGACUGCCCGAAGGGCGAGCGCAGCGAGUCAAUCCCCCCUCACCGCCA